GAGGCCCCCUAUCUCUUAAAACGGUCUCAGUUCGGAUUGUAGGCUGCAACUCGCCUACAUGAAGUCGGAAUCGCUAGUAAUCGCGGAUCAGCAUGCCGCGGUGAAUACGUUCCCGGGCCUUGUACACACCGCCCGUCACACCACGGGAGUUUGCAACACCCGAAGUCGGUGAGGUAACCGCAAGGAGCCAGCCGCCGAAGGUGGGGUAGAUGACUGGGGUGAAGUCGUAACAAGGUAUCCGUACCGGAAGGUGCGGUUGGAUCACCUCCU
rnacentral:rRNA from 1 species